CCGGAGCAACGAGGACCAGAAAUAUCUCCUUCGCUUUUGCGCUUUUCUCCUUCUCUUUCCUCGCGCCGCCUAGCCGCUGCAGCGACCCGAUGGCCGGCGGCGAGCCGCCGGAGGCGGAGGCGGGGGCGGGGCGGCGGGCGGCGCUGCUGCGGGAGAUUACGGAGGAGGGCGGGUUCGCGUUCGUGGCGUCGGCGGAGAAGGCGGCGGGCGGGGACCUGCGGGCGGCGGAGGCGGCGCGGGAGAUGGCGUGGGAGCAGCUCCACUCGGGCCCCUGGAGCGAGGUGGGCGCCGCGUGGAGGGACGCCUACGCGCUCGCCUGCCUCCACGUCGCGCGCCUGCGGCUGGAGGUGGCCGCCGACCGCCGCGCCGCGCUGCGCGCGCUCGACAUGGGGCUCAUCAUGGGGGGCAACCUCCUCCGCGCCGACCUGGAGGCCGCGAUAGCGCGCAUCGCCGCGGAAGCGGGCGACGGCGGGGACGCGGAGGCCGUCGAUGAGGAAGGCCGGAGGUGGAGGGAGGGGCUCGACAGGAAUCGAGACAUCGCCGAUGCACUGAACAUUCUUCCGCUGAAGUCUUUAUCUUAUAAGAAGGUUGAGAGGCGAUCAUGCAUUUCUUUGGAGGAGUUUAUAUGUGAUUACUUUUUGCGGGAAUCCCCUGUUAUAAUCAGUGGCAGCAUUGAUCAUUGGCCUGCUAGGACAAAGUGGAAGGACAUCCAAUACCUGAAGAAAAUAGCUGGAGAUCGAACUGUUCCUGUUGAAGUUGGAAAAAAUUAUGUGUGCAGUGAGUGGAAGCAGGAACUAAUCACUUUUUCGCAGUUCCUUGAGAGGAUGUGGUCAACUGGCUGUCAUUCCAAUUUGACAUAUCUAGCUCAGCAUCCCUUGUUUGAACAGAUAAAAGAGCUUCAUGAAGAUAUAAUGGUUCCUGACUACUGUUAUGCUGGUGGAGGAGAGCUUCAAUCACUUAAUGCGUGGUUCGGUCCACAUGGGACUGUGACACCAUUGCACCAUGAUCCACAUCACAACAUUUUAGCUCAGGUAUUGGGAAGAAAGUAUAUUAGACUAUAUCCUGCUUCCAUAUCUGAGGACUUGUACCCACACACAGAAACUAUGCUAAGUAACACCAGUCAGGUAGAUCUUGACCACAUUGAUCUGAAGGAGUUCCCAAAGGUAGAAAAUCUUGAUUUCAUGGACUGUAUAUUGGAGGAGGGUGACCUGCUCUACAUUCCACCAAAAUGGUGGCAUUACGUGAAAUCUCUUUCUAUUAGUUUCUCCGUUAGCUUUUGGUGGCGUGCAGCUGUUCUACCUUCAAAGGGUUCAUAGCGUCGCCGAUUCUGAUCUUUGUACACCAGAACCAGACCACUGAAUCUUUGAAAUCCUGACAGAAGCCUUCAAUUCAACAUCCACUAUUGCAUGGAUGUGGCCAUACUAUUGCAGAUGUACAUUGUUACUCCCCCUGUUAUGAUUAAACACGUAGUUGCUACUAUACCAAAUGUAACAAUGUCAUUUGCCUUCUGAUGGGUCCCAUUUUCAAAAAAAUAUCAGUAAGGUUAUGAUGGGAUCCCAUUUUCACAACAAUUAUCAGUAAGGUUAUUUUCAGUGUUUCUCCACAUUAGGCGAUCAGUGCUGUUUUAGAUAUAGAAGAUGAUCACAUCCCUGUCCUCUGCAUCUUGUAUAAACAGUCAAUACCAUCGAUGCUACGCCACCAACCUGCUUCCAAGAACGACACUGACUGAGCAUCCAUUCUCUUGAGACGCACAAAUGGAGUACUACAGUUGCAAAGAAAGAGAGAAAGAGAACACGAAAAAGAAAACAAUAGGGCCCUUCCAUGGAGUACUACAGCUAGCCACAAAGCCAUGCCCCAGAUGCCAUGCCUUAACCACAGUGAAGCAGCAUGACUGUCAAGACACAGCCAUCAGCAUUAACUCUUUUGGCACCUUGUCUUUCGGCACCAUCCUGGUAUCUCUCUCCCUGAACCACAUUUUUUUCUCUCUGGACCAGCAGGCGAUGAGGCGAAAGCUAGGGCUAGGCGCCGGAAAAGAAGCUGCACCAAGCCACCAAACAGCACACUACUCUUUCUUUCACUCUUUGCGCUGUUGUGUUUAUGCCCACCGAGGCAGGCGGCGGUGGCGCCACCUCCGCUGAUCCGACGCCGUUGUCCGCGUCUAAGAAUGCAGUAAUGUCUGUCUCUGUCUAACGCAUUGCAAG